GGAGUAAUGCAGGUCUUUCUAGCUAUGUGGGGUGGGCUUCUGCUUGCGUGGUCCAGCUUAUGGUAAACAAGGCUUUGAGUGUCUCAUCCCACUGUGAGUGAUGAGGACAGAGCUUCAGUCCCUCUUGGAACUGUGAAGAGUUCUUUGAAGUUUGCAUCCUGAAUGUCUUCUUGCUGUUUCUGUGCCCUUCAGCUGAAGAGGAGGCCACAAAGGAGGCUGCAGAAAGCCUUUGAGGGGAGAGCAGUGGCUGCUCUUCCCAACAGGCCAGCUCCUGCUUCAGGAAGCUGACUGAGCCACAUCUGUGAUUAUACCUUUGAUUUAGCUGGGAAGAUUCGUUUGACACCUGAACCAUGAAUUCCCAGUCUGAGGGUACAGGAGUUGAGAUGCAGACUUCAAACUUGUAAUGGAGCCAUUUGGGAACACAUAAACCACAAUUCAGGAACUAGUUCCUCUGACUGUGCAGUUAAAAGAAGCAUUUAGGGCAGAAGCACAGCUUGCUAUAGAACAAUAAAGAUUGGAGACUUGGACUUUGUCAUCUGUUGUGAGUUCGCUGACCAAGCAGUGAAAUAGCAAUGAACUUUGCAGCAGGUAAAAGCAAA